rnacentral:tRNA from 1 species
GUUAGAGUGGCAGAGCCCGGUAAAUGCAGAAGGCCUAAGCCCUUCGCACAGAAGUUCAAAUCCUCUCCCUAACU